rnacentral:rRNA from 1 species
AUUGAACGCUGGCGGAAUGCUUUACACAUGCAAGUCGAACGGCAGCACGGACUUCGGUCUGGUGGCGAGUGGCGAACGGGUGAGUAAUGUAUCGGAACGUGCCCAGUCGUGGGGGAUAACGUAGUGAAAAUUACGCUAAUACCGCAUACGAUCUAUGGAUGAAAGCGGGGGAUCGCAAGACCUCGCGCGAUUGGAGCGGCCGAUAUCAGAUUAGGUAGUUGGUGGGGUAAAGGCCCACCAAGCCAACGAUCUGUAGCUGGUCUGAGAGGACGACCAGCCACACUGGAACUGAGACACGGUCCAGACUCCUACGGGAGGCAGCAGUGGGGAAUUUUGGACAAUGGGCGAAAGCCUGAUUCAGCCAUUCCGCGUGCAGGAUGAAGGCCCUCGGGUUGUAAACUGCUUUUGUACAGAACGAAAAGGUUUCUACUAAUACUAGGGGCUCAUGACGGUACCGUAAGAAUAAGCACCGGCUAACUACGUGCCAGCCGCCGCAGUAA